ACGUUGUCAGCUAACCCCUAUUUUCUGUGCCAGUUGUAGUAUCUAGCUAUCUAGAUAAAAACAGAAAUAUGUAUAUCUCAUGACUGAUGUUCUGACUUGAUUGUAUCGGGUUUUCUCUUUCAGGAGACCAUGGCAGACGACUUUGAUGUUGAGGCUAUGCUAGAGGCUCCAUACAAAAAGACUUGCCUAACGAUAUCUCCCCUCCUCUCACCUUUUGAUUCGAGUGAGGACUGUGUGUUGGGGGGAGAGUGUAAGGUAGUAAUUUAGCAAUGAUGCACUGUGAUCCCCUAGGACAAAAAGAGCUUCAUCUUAGAACAUCCUAGCUAUCACCUGUUUGGUUGCAACAAGGUGAAUGCAAAUGGAUGAUAAUCAGCACAUUUUACCCCACAUGCAAAGGAGACAAUAUUCACAUUUUCUGUUGACAUGGUAGCUAAAGGCAUUUUCACAAUGUUUACACCUAAUGUUACAGUUGGAUUGACCCAUAGAAAUAUAAUUACUGUGGUACCAGUAGUUCUGGCACAUAUUCUAUUUAUAUAAGGGACCUUUUGUUAUGCAUCAGUGUCAAUCAAGUAAGUCUGACCUAAAAUAGGCCUUACAUGCAUAAGUACCUAUUUUACCCUUACAUUUGGCUAUAGUAGAUUAGUCUUCUCUAUAGUAUAUCACUUAACAGAUCAGGCUUAAAUGAGUAGUCAUGAUUUUGCCAAGGUCAACAAAACAAGCUAUUGAUUAUUUUAAAAUAUGAAUACUGUCUCCCUGCCCAAGUCUAUUGUGAUGGUUUCUGAUUUUGUAAAUCAGCAUCUUGACUUUGCAUGCCUUUUAACACCAGUAAUAUUUUACGUUUAUUUUCUUACUACAAUUUAUUUGUAAGAUUUAUUUCAAGGUUUCAUUUAUAUUAUACAUUUAGUUAAUGAUUUCACCAGUAUGAGUAUUUUUCCCCUAAUAAAAUUCAAGCCAUUCAAAUACAAACAUCUCCAUUCAGCUGGCACAAAAAAAUUUAUAGGACAUUUAACAUGAGGCUAACCUAGUAGAUUUUUUUCUUCAGUUUUACUUGGGAGUCCAUAUUACUAAGCAGUGUGAAUCCCUGUUUGCUUCAGGGCGAGAUGUGACAGAGGUGGCAUCGAACUCUUACAGUCCAAGAAGGAAAAUGGGUGAAGAUCACUGGACUGACAUCAACCACAGGAUCUUUUAGCGGCUGUGGGCCAAGCGUGGUCUCAGUGGGCUUAGGAACAGAUAGUGGUACUGGUACGACAAAGGAGGGGUGGGGGUUGAGAUGACCAAACUGUUCCCAUAACUUCCUGUAUCAUGCCAAAAUAGUAUAUAUUUUUCCCAUAUACUUUGACUUUUGGUUGGAUUGAGUACUGUAUGAUUAUGUAGUUAUAACAGCAGGGGGAGUAAUUGGAAUGGAACUCUACAGGGGCUGUAGAAGGACCCCCCUUACAUACUUGUCCAAACAUAUUAAUGUUAACAGUAUUUUAACCUAAUGGUUAUGUUCUGUAUUUUCUUGUUCCCUCCCUCACCCCUGACGACUUGCAAUGUUUCCUCUACAUCCUCAUGAUGUUCUUCUAUCAAC
rnacentral:lncRNA from 13 species